GCGGUCCCGGAUGCCCCACCCCGGUGCUCCCUGCGAUCCCAAUGCAGUGGUGAUGCGCUGACCCCAAAGGUCCCAAUGCAGUGGUGAAGGCGGUCCCGGAUGCCCCACCCCGGUGCUCCCCGCGGUCCCAAUGCAGUGGUGAUGCGCUGACCCCAAAGAUCCCAAUGGGGUUGUGAAGGUGGUCCUGAAGGUCCCAACGUGGUGUGCUGACCCCAAAGAUCCCAAUGGGGUUGUGAAGGUGGUCCCGGAGGUCCCAACGUGGUGUGCUGACCCCAAAGAUCCCAACAGGGUGGUGAAGGCAGUUCCGGAUGCCCCACCCCGGUGCUCCCCGCCGUCCCAGCGCAGUGGUGAUGCGCUGACCCCAAAGGUCCCAACGCAGUGGUGAUGCGCUGACCCCAAAGGCCGCCCCGUUCCCGUCGUGGCGGUGCCGCGCGGCGCUCCCAACGCCGCAGCCCCCCAUGCCCCACAACCUCAUAACCCCACCGCCCCACAACUCCUCUGCCCCACAACUCCCUCCGAAAGCCCCCCACGCCCUUCCUCAGCCCCACAACCCCACCCCACAACCCCAUAACUCCACUGGGGCGCGGCGAGGCGGCGCGCCGGGCGCUCGCGUUCCUCACGUUGGCCGCCAUGGACGCGUCGGCCUUCGUCA
ensembl:lncRNA